rnacentral:lncRNA from 1 species
AGAUAUUAACUGGCAUCCCGGCAGAGGAGCCAGUAGGAUGAGGCCCCAGAAUAGGCUGAAGCCAAGUUGUAGCAAACGCCAAGGUGUUCAUCCUGUGAUCAAAGAGGAGCUGCUUAAGGUCGGUGAGCUGAGCUGAGGGCAUUAAGCUUCUGCAGCUCCCUAGUGGUCCCACAGCUGCGGCCGCCGCCUUCUUCCUCCAUGAUGAAAACAUCUGAGACUCAGGGCUAAGCACCUUGCCCAAGGCCACACAACAAGUAGGUGAUGGAGAGUGUUGGCGUGUACGGAUUCUGUGGGUGUAAAGCAAAGAACAAAAUGAAGUGUGAUUCAAGGUGGGAAAUAGCCGCUUCAGCUCCCCCAGGCUGCAGCAGCUACCACACAAAGAAGCAGUCCUAUGGCAAUGACAGGACAUCUGUGUCCAGGAUUUGGAUUUGACGAACUGGCAGUUCCUGCAGGGAUGACGGUACUCCCUAGUUGUGUCUGAAUUGGACGCACCAGCACUUGAGCACACACAAACGCACGUGAACAGACGGAACAUGUUAUGGGCCUGUUAGCCAAGGAAUGACAGAAUUAAUCCAUGGGCAUUUGCGGCCAGUGUUGUGUUAAACUAAAGGGAAAAAGUGAACUGGAAAAAGCAAUGUUUGUUUUAUGAAAAUCUCAGACCCAAUCCUUAGGUGACAGUUCUGGAAAUGAGGGGUGUCUAAAACAAAGGGCAUCUGAAACUUCGGUUUUUCAGCUUCCUUUCCUUGUCUCAUGACCUCUUUCCUACCCGCUGCCUCUGUUUUCUCUAAUAUGGAACAGUGAAAAUGGGGGCCAGCAAAACAGAUUGCUGAUGUCUGUUGAUUUUAUCAAAGGAAGGUUAGAUUGAGUAAGAUGGCAUAAAUAAGCACACAUAGGACAAUACCUGGCAUAUAUCAGGUGCUCAAUAGCAGUGAAUUCUCUCCCUGCUGUCAUGAAUUCUUGAAGGUUGGAGACCAUGCGCUGUUCUGCGUGCCAAGUUAUUUUUUCGGCCUGAUAGCAGGUGAGCUACUGAGUGAAGACAGAGACUGGACGCUAAUUCAGCUCUGAAUCUUCAGCACCUGGCAUGGAAGGUGCACAGGACAUAUUUGAAAAAGGAGAAUUAAUAGAAUUGACCAAUAGGCUGACCUCCUGAAUGAUGACUGAGCAAAUUGAUCUAGAGGUAUUCAAAACAGUUUAGUUGACUGUCCCAAACUUUCUCAGACCUCUUCUGCCACUGACUUCCCUGAAAAGACCCUUUGCAGCCAGGCACGGUGGCUCAUGCCUGUAAUCCCAGCAUGUUGGGAGGCUGAGGUGGGCGGAUCACGAGGUCAAGAGAUUGAGACCAUCCUGGCCAACGUGGUGAAACCUCGUCUCUACUAAAAGUACAAAAAUUAGCUGGGUGUGGUGGCACGUGCUUGUAGUCCCAGCUAGUUGGGAGGCUGAGGCAGGAGAAUCGCUUGAACUGGGGAGGCGGAGGUUGUAGUGAACCAAGAUCAUGUCACUGCACUCCAGCCUGGCAAUAGAGCGAGACUCUGUCUCAAAAAAAAACCAAAAAAACAAAAUCAACCCUUUUGCAUUUUUGUCCUAUCCUGUUUUCCGUCCCCUUGAGACCGUAUCACACGUUCUUUUUCCUCUUUGGUGACCUUCUUUGUCUUUCUUGCUGCUCCUGUACACUGUUGUUUACUCACACUGCUUUUAUUCUGAGCUCUCAUAUCUCUUCUAUUUCUGGUUCUGACGCCUAUCUUGUCUAUGCCUCGCACACUCACCUCCGACUCGGAGUCCUGACCUGCACAGCUGCGAUUGCGGUUUGCACACUUUGAGGGUGAACAGUUGUCAUGCAGCCCUUUUGAGUGCUAAAAAGUGACCACUUAAGAUUUUCCUCGUGGUUAGGAAGAUGAGUAUUUUAAAAUCAUUCUGGAGGAGAUUAGUGGUAAAGAAAACCUUCCUCAGCAACUAAAUCAUUGUGGAAAAAUAAGCCAAUUAGUCACUAAAACAAAAACCUUUUGAAGACUUGUGAACAGAGGAAAGAACAUGUGAAUUACAGGUUUUCUGUUUUGUGGCAUUGAUAGACUCCAGUAGUAUUCAUGAUCGCUGAUCAUCGCGAUGGGGACCCCGGAAAGGUGAAAUUAUGUUCAGUUGAAUAUUACCUAACCCUUCUCAAAGGACAAUUUGAUUUUGUUAUUCCAUUGUUAAGGGCUUUUUGGUGGCCCUUCGAGAUCUGGCUCUGGCUUCUCUUUGACCUUGAACCCUCACUCUGGUUGUGCUGAUCUGCUGACCGUCCUCCGGACACGGUAGGGUGCUCCAUGCCACAGGGCCUUUGAACAAACCUUUCUUAUCCUUGGAAUAAAUGCCUUUUCUUCCUUUUGUUCCCCUGCCAAACACAUGCUAUUAGGAAAGAUUCAACCCCAUGUCAUCACCUCCACAAAGCUUCUCCUGACACCUCCCAAGUUAGAUUGACCUUUUUCUCUUUUGUGUCCCCCACUGUCGAACUUGAUGUUCUUGUCAAUGACAACAAUAGUGGUAACAAUGAUGGUUUCCUUUCAUUGAGUGCCUUUUGGUUCCAGUAAGUGUAAGUGCUUUCACUUGUUAUAUCAUUUAAGCCCUGCCACCCUAUGAAGAGGCCACUAUUAUACAUACAGUCAUGCAUUGCUUUAUGACAGGGAUAUGUUCUGAGAAAUGCAUUAUUAGGCAAUUUCAUCAUUGUGUGAACAUCAUAGAAUGUACUUCCACAAACCUAGAUGAUAUAGCCUGCCUCACAACUAAGCUAUUAUAUGCAGGACAGUCUGCUGCUAGCUGCUUCUAAGCUACAGACCAUAUAUAUGUAUAUAUGUACAUAUCCUCUCCCUGCCCCUCUUGCUCUUUAUAUAUAUAUGCAUAUACCUAUAAUAUAUGCAUAUUUAGAUAGGCUUUUAUAUGUAUAUUGUAUAUAUGUACAUAUAUACAUUUAUUUUUUGAGACAGGGUCUUGCUCUGUCUCCCAUGCUGGAGUGCAGUGGUAUGAUCACGGCUCACUGCAGCCAUGACCUCCCAGGCUCGAGGGAUCCUCCCAGCUCAGCCUCCCAAGUAGGUGGGACUACAGGCAUGCACCACCACAUCUGGCUAAUUUUUGAAUUUUUUUUUGUAGAGAUGGGGUUUCACCAUGUUGCCCGGUUCUCAAACUCCUAGGCUCGAGUAAUCCACCCAACUUUGCUCCCAAAGUGGUGGGAUUAUAGGUGUGAGCCACCGCAACCAGCCCAUAUAUGCAUAUUUAAUAUACAUGUGUAGCAUAUACAUACACAUAUACACAUCUAUGCAUAUAAAUUAACAAUAUGUAUAUAUGUGCAUAAAUUCACAUAUAUUUUCUGUAUAAAGACAGCAAGAGAGGCAGGCGGAGAAAGAAUCAGUUGCAGUCUGGAGGAAUAUACGUGUGUUACAUGGUUUCCCUGCCUUUAAAUUCUCUGUUAAUCUGUAUUCCUUGUAAAGUAGAUGACAGCAUGUAUCUUGGCCUACAUGUUUCUAAAGACAAACCUCUAAGCUCUUGAAGUUCUGCCAUGGUGUAUCAUAGUACAUUGAAGUCAGAAAGCCCAUUAGAGGAGGAGGAUGCCUGGCUAGAAUAGUGUUCUUGAGUUUUUCCAUGUGUAUUGUCUCAGGUAGGAAGAUGACAAGUCCUACUUUGUUCUUGUGUGAUUCCCCAUCAUUCAGUCUGUGGAGGCUGAGCUUGUUAAUGGUGGUGAACACGAGUUUCGUUCUUUGCCAGGAGUGCCCACCAGUGCCCAUAACGCCCUCCCGGAAUGUGCCGGGCAGUAUGUUUAGGGUAAGACUGACUAACGACCCAACACUGACAACGGCCUUAGCACAAACCCAAAAGGCUCUGCUAGAGCUCAGAGGCAGCCACGAGAUUGGGAGAGCUGGAUGACGGUUUGCUAAGAGAAUUCAAGCUGUCAGUCCUCCUGUGUAUCCUUUGGAUUCUGUUAUGCUGUUGCUUGUAGAGGGAAAAAGUUCAUGUGUCAUUUAUAUACAAGUGCCCAUUUGACAUUGAGUGAGUCACAUUUAUUUUACCCUAUAUGAACACAAAAUCUCUGUUUUAAAAUCAGAUUCUAGAACUUUAAAAGGGUUCUUAUGUAUUGUUCUGAAGUAACUCAGUGGCUCUUGGUGAGCCCGCCCCACCUGGCCUGUUGGGUGACCCUCUUCCUGCCCCCUCACCGGUUCUGCUCCUUGUUCCUCUCUCUGCGCCUUGGCUCCCCUUCCCAGAGCCCUUCCUCUUGGUCUUGCCAAAUCCUGCCCAUCCUUUGAGAAACGCUUAUGCCCAUGGCUGUCUUACCCCUUCCUGCUUUGCUGUGGUAUCCAUUAGUCUGUUCUCGCGCUGCUAAUAAAGACAUACAAAAGACUGGGUAAUUUAUAAAGGAAAGAGGUUUAAUGGACUCACAUUUCCACAUGGCUGGGGAGGCCUCACAAUCAUGGUGGAAGAUGAAGGAAGAGCAAAGGGACUUUUUAUGUGGCGGCAGGAAAGAGAGCUUGUGCAGGGAAACUCCCAUUUAUAAAACUGUCAGAUCUCAUGAGACUUAUUCACUACCAUGGGAACAGUAUGGGGGAAACUGCCCCCAUGAUUCAAUUAUCUCCACCUGGCCCUGCCCUUGACACGUGGGGGUUAUUACAAUUCAAGGUGAGAUUUGGGUGGGGACACAGCCAAAAUAUAUCUGGCAUAUGCAAUCUGAUCACCCCUUCCAAACUUCUCUCUUAAAAAUGCAACAUUCUGACAGCAUGUGGAGGCUUGGAUGGAAACACGGUAAAAAUUACAACAUUGUUUCUCACACUUUUGCACCAAAGUGAUACAAAUCGCAGAGCUGAGGCAACUGGUGUUUCUGCGAGAAUGGAAUGGAAUGUGGUUGAAAUUUUGUGUUGUUUUUUAAAUAUUUGCAACUAUUUGUCAUUCUUCCAUAAAAAUCAGAAUUCAUGGUUGUGUACAUAAAAGUAAUUUUCUAAAGUGUGCCUUUGUGUGUCCUUGAUGCAGGACCAGCUUGGACUUGUGACCUGUGCAGUCACACAAGGCCCUGCACGUGGUUUAAUGCUCCGCUGUCACCAUCUUGAAAUUCUUAAUACCUUGAACGAGGGGUCCUGUAUUUUUGUUUCAUGCUGGGCCCAGCAAAUUACAUAGGUGGUCCUCCCUUUGGGGUUCUGCAAGGCAACUAACUGUGAAGCAUGCAUCGAGUUACAGUUUUAAAUCUUAACAUGACUUCAUCUGUUAUGGCCUACCCAGGACAGUGCAGGAAGCUGGGUGCCCUUUAAGAAAGGAGUCUGGGCUGAAGGAGAUGGAGAGGUAGGAAGGGUUGGGGUCCUGAAUGCCAGCUUUGCCAGGGCCAUGCCUCGCAGCCAUGUCCUUCCUGCCUGUCUACCACAGGCCAGGAGGUGAACAGUCAUUCUGUAAUUCACAUGCAGUAAAGCUUUUUGAGAGUUCUGUUUUUCACCUGGAACUGCCAAGUCAUUUGGUGAAGAUUUCCUGCUUGUUUGAAGUCUGCAGAGAAAAACCGCUAAUGAAACAUACCACAUUUGGAAAUGAACUUUUUAAAGUAUGUAUCCAUAAGUUCUUAUUUCAGCUCUUCCUUUUAUUCUAUAAAUGCCUGUCUUAUUUCAAAAGGGACUUUCAGGCAGAGGUAUAACAACAUAAUAAGAACAAUACAUUUGAGAAACAGAACUGAAAAGAAACUAAGGCAAAGUCAGGGGUAAAAUUGGAUCACAAAUGCAUACCACGAGGUCUUACUGAAUUUAAAAUUUACAAAUGCCUGUAAGCUUCCCAGUCGCAGAACAAAGGAACACAAUUGGUCAUAUCUAUAUGCAGCAGGAGAAGGGUUGGGCGGACAGCAGCUCGCAACUUGGCUUCCACCGUCUGCCGCAGAGAAUUUAGAGGCGUCUUGGGAACAUGAGUGGGGCUAUCCAGGAAUCUGUUUACCUGAGGGACUAAGUCCUGUCCCUUGGACAUCCCCAAAUAGUCCAGAAUGAAGCUUUAUUUGGAGAAGAGGGGCAGUUCGGAGCACUUCAUGACGUCUUGUCACCCAGUUUGUCCCACAUCUGCCUUCAAACUGAGUGGGACUUGAGCAAACAACACCCAGAGCUUCACUCUUCCCCACCACUGCGCUGGCCCUGCGGUGUUGUGAGUUGGUGGCUCCAGUGACAUGGCAGUGGCGGUGAGCCUGGCGCUGGCAGUGUUGGUGACACUCACGUGGUGGUGGUGGCACCAGCACUGGCGGUGUCUGUACCAGCAGGAGAGGUAGCACCGACACCUCCAAAGUGGAUGCAGCAGCAUCACAGUGGCUACAGGUGCCAAUCGGCUGUAGUAGGUGUGGAGGCAGUGGCUGGGAGUGGCUCGCAGCAAGGGCGAGCUCUCUGGACAACUCCAUGGGUGACAGAAGCCUGGACACGGGAGACCUUGGGGAGCCUUAUCCAAGGAGGUGCUUGAGGCUCCCCCUUGAGGAAGACCUCUCCAUUGGUGGGGGAAUUUGGAGCCAAAGAAAGCUCCUUAUGUUGUCAAAAUGUCCCUUUUUUAACCUUAGGAUAUUGUGACCCCUGAAGGUAUUAAUGAUAUUCUAGAGCAUUUGAAAGACAACAGCCAACUAGCUGGUUAAGCGCAGCUCAGUUUUUCCCCAGUGUGUGUGGGUGGCUGAGCACACAUUCAUUAAUUCAGUGAUUCAUUCAGCCAACAUCUGCGGAACCCCUGCUGGCUUCUGGAGUCAGAUUGCGGGGAUCUGAAUCGGGCUUGCCACUUACUAGUCUAUGACCUCGAGCAAAUGACGUGAUUCCUCUAAUACCCAGUUUCCCCAUCUGUAAUAUGAAAUGUGAAUACUAAGUAUCCGCCUCAUUGGGUUUUAGGAGAAUCAAAUGCAUGUCAAGUGUUUAACAUGGUGCCUGGCACAGAUUAAACAUCCAAGAAGUGUGAGUUAUGAUUAAAGGCUGUGAAAUGUACAAAGAGCCACAUAGUCCCCCAUUCAUUCAAGCAUUUUCUGUCCAUAUAAGGAAAUGCUACAUAGCCCAACUCCAGAAGGCUACACAUUAACUGGGGGUAUCACACAGUAGAGAAAUUAUGGGUGAUUUGAUUUGAUUAUUUAUCUGCUUUUUAGGAAUUUUCCAGUGUAUGUGAACUGUUUGUGAGAUCUUAAAACAGAAAGAAAAGCAACCCCAUUUGCCCUUCCCUUUGGUACUUCUGUGACACCCGUGUCGUCCAUCAGUUCCCAUGCAGGCAGGGGCGGUGACACUCACGCAUCUGUAGAUGGCUCAGACUCUCAGAAACUUCUUUCUUAGAGGAUCUGCUUGUAGUUUCUGGCUUUUACGUUUCAUUCAUUAUUCAUUCAUUCGUUCAUUCAAGAAAUACUUAUUAAGCACCUCUUGUCUGCCAGGCACAUUGAUAAGUUCUGGUGAGUGAAAGCCAAUGGCUCCCUUGAAGGAGCUGGUAAUUUAUCAGGGUUCUCAGACUGUCAUCCAAUAAUUAAAUAAAUAUGUCACGACAGAUGGAAGUGAGAUGAAGGCAAGGAACUUGGUGCUGUGAAGGUGGACAGCAGAGAUGAAGGUGGAGGGAGGCGGGGGAGGCUUCCCUGGGAGGUGACGGGAAAGCUGAGCUGUGAAGGUGCAUAGGAGUUAUUGGGUGUGUGUGGGGGUGGGGCAUGUGCGGUCCAGACAGAGGAGCAGAGUCGACUUCGGGGCCACACAGAGAAUGGAAUUCCCUUUCCAUGUGACAGCCCUUCACACAUCUGUAGGUGGCUUCUCCCCGGAAGCCUUUCUGUUGUAUUCCUGCCUUCUUCAGCUUUUCUGCCUAGGAUGUGGUUUCACAGCCUGUUUUCAUUCUGAGAUCCAGUUUGUUCGUAUCCUUCUUUUUCGAUAACAAUUUUAUUGAGCUAUAAUCCACAUGCAGUACAAUUCACUCAAAGUGUAUAAUUCAAUGAUUUUUAAUAUAUCACAGAAUUGUGCAACCAUCACCAUGAUCAAUUUUAGAACAUUUUCAUCACCCCAAAAAGAAACCCUUAUACCCAUUAGCAGCAGCCACUCCUCGUUUCCCCCACCAAUCCCAGCCCUGGGAAACCAUUAGUUGCUUUUGGUCACUAUAGAUACACCUGUUCUGGGCAUUUUUUAUAAAUGGAAUCAUACAGGAUGCAUUCUUUUGUUUAACUGCUUCUUUCGUUUAGCAUAAUGUUUUUAAGGUUCAUCCAUGUUGUAGCAUGUAUCAGUACUUUGUUUGUUUGUUUGUUUUUGAGACAGAGUCUCACUCUGUCACCCAGGCUGGAGUGCAGUAGCACCAUCUAGUCUCACUGCAACCUCUGCCUCCCAGGUUCAAGCAGUUCUCCUGCCUCAGCCUCCCAAGUAGCUGAGACUACAGGCACGAGCCACCAUGCCCUGGUAAUUUUUUGUAUUUUUAGUAGAGAUGGGGUUUCACCAUGUUGGCCAGGCUGGUCUUGAACUCCUGAGCUCAAGUGAUCCUCCCAUCUAGGCCUCCCAAGGUGCUGGGAUUACAGGCAUAAGCCACCACGCCCGGCCACUUCAUUUUUUUUUUAAAUUUACUUAUUUUUUUUUUUUUUGAGACAAGGUCUCACCCUGCCACCCAGACUAGAGUAGAGUGGUGCAAUCACAGCUCGCUGCAGCUUCGGCCUCCCAGGCCCAAGUGAUUCCCCCACCACAGCCCCCCAGUAGCUAGGACUACAGGCGUGCACCACCACACCCGGUUAAUUUUUGUAUUUCUUCUAGAGAUGGGGUUUUGCCAUGUUGCCCGGGCUGAUCUCAAACUCCUAGGCUCAAAUGAUCUGCCUGCCUCGGCCUUCCAAAGUGCUGGGAUUAGCCGGGUACUGUGGCUUAUGCCUGUAAUCCCAGCACUUUGGGAGGCUGAGGCAGGCAGAUCACAAGUUCAGGAGAUCAAGACCAUCCUGGCCAACAUGGUGAAACCCCAUCUCUACUAAAAAUACAAAAAUUAGCCGGGUGUGGCGGUGCGCAUCUAUAGUCCCAGCUACUCAGGAGGCUGAGGCAGGAGAAUUGCUUGAACCGGCAGGCGGAGCCUGCAGUGAGCCGAGAUCAUGCGACUGCACUCCAGCCUGGGUGACAGAGCAAGACUCCAUCUCAAAAUAAACAAACAAACAAACAAAACACUAAGUGGUGGGAUUACAGGCGUGAGCCACUGAGCCCAACCAGUCCUUCACUUUUCAUUGCUGGAUAAUGAUAAUAUUCCAUUGUAUGGAUAGAACAUGGUUUGUUUGUCCAUUAGUCAGUUGAUGGAUGUUUGGGUUGUUUUCAUUUUGGGGCUAUUAUGAAUAAUGUUGAUAUGGACCAGUUUGUGUGUGGAUGUAUUUUUUCGCUUCUCUUGGGUAUAUCUUAGGAAUGGAAUUGCUAGGGCAUAUGGUAACUCUAUAUUUAACCUUUUGAGGAACUGCUAAACUGUUUUCCACAGUGGGUACACAUUUUGUAUUCCUACCAACAGUGUAUGAGGCUUCUUAUUUCUCCACAUCAUUUCCAACACUUUGCAUUAUCUGUCUUUUUGAUUAUAGUCAUCCUUCUGGGUGUGAAGUGGCAUUUCAUUGUGUUUUGAUUGGCAUUUCACUUAUACCUUAUGAUGCUGGCAUCUUUUCAGAUACUUAGUGGACAUUUGUAUACAUCUUCUUUGUAGAUAUAUCUGUUCAGGUUCUUUGUCCAUUUUUAAAUUGGGUUAUGUCUUUUUAUUAUUGAUUUGUAAGAGUUCUUUAUAUAUUUUAGAUAUAACUCCCUUAUCAGAUGUAUUAUUUGCAAAUAUUUUUUCCCAUUCUGUGUGUUGCCUUUUCACCUUCUUGAUGAUGUCCUUCAAAGCAUGAAGGUUUUUAAUUUUUAUUAAGUCCAGUUUAGCCAUAUUUUUCUUGUUGCAUGUGGUUUUGGUGGCAUAUCUAAGAAGCCAUUGCUAACAUAAGGCCACAAAGACUUAUAUCUGUAUUUUCUUCUUUCCUCUCAUAAGAGUUUUAUGGUUUUACCUCUUAACGUUUCGGCUUUUUGUGCAUUUAGAAUUCAUUUUUGUAUAUGGUGUGAUGUAGGGGUUCACCUUCCUUGUUUUACAUGAUAUCCAGUUGUCCCAGCACCAUUAGUGAAAAGACUAUUAUUUCCCCACUAAAUUGUCUUCACCCCCUUGUCAAAAAGCAAUUGACUAUACAUGUGAGGGUUUAUUUCUGGACUCUGAAAUUCUAUUCCAUUGAUCUGUCUGUCUAGCCCUAUACAAGUACCACACUAUCUUGAUCACUGUGGUUUUGUAUUGAGUUUUGAAAUUAGAAAGUGUGAGUCCUCCAACUUUGUUCUUCUUUUUCAAAAUUGUUUUGUUUAUUCUGUGUCCCUUGCAUUUCUUUGUGAAUGCAGGGAUCAUGUUGAGACUGUAGAUCAUUUGGGGGGGCAUUGCCAUUUUAAUGGUAUUAAAAAUCUUCUCAUCCAUGAACCUGGAUUACCUAUGUCUUCUUUAAUGUCUUUCAACAGUGUUUUAUAGUUUUCAGAGAAUAAAUUUUUCACUGCUUUUGUUAAAUGCAUUCCUAAAUAUUUUAUUCUUGUGAUGCUAUUGUAAAGGGAAUUGUUUUCUUAAUUUUAUUUUUGGAUUGUUCAUUUCACAUCCCUUUUAAAACGUGGUCCCUGGAACCAUCAGAUUAGCACUGAAGACAGUGGAUGUUCACUUCAAACUUGUGGAUAUGAUUCUGUACUCUAACCUCAGACAAAGUUAAGCUUUUUGUGGAAGAGGGCGUCCUGGUGAUUCCUGCUUUCUGUAUGUUCAUAAGCCACAAAUCCCCUCUAACAAGCCAUUCCUGAAUUGUUUUCAUCAGCCAGUUGUUCUCUUAUCAUGAGAGAAUUAACCUCAGAUGGAGAAGCUGAGGAUCACCGAAGGGAAGGUCAGACAUAAGACUGACCCAAUGGCAGGUUCUGGUGUUUCUGAGCUGUAAAGGGCAUAGUCCCUACACUGUGGGAGCUCCCAUCUGACAGGGAAGGUUGACAGGUGAGUCCAGCCCACUGUGGUAGAUGGUGACUUGCCGUGCCACUCCCUGAGGUCCAGGCUUUCCUCUCAUGCAGUCAGGAUGGCAAGUGACACGGGUGGAUCAGCGUGGAGCCACAAACCAGUCAACAGAUAAUGAUUUCACAUCUAUCAUAUGCUGAGCACAGUUCUACACAUUAUGCAGCACUGGAUAAAAGUACAAAUCCCUGCCCUCAUGGGGCUUCCAUUCUAAUGUAUGUAUGUGUGUAUGUGUGCAAAUCUGAAUAUGUUAAAUGAUAAAUGGUAUAGAGAAAAAAUAAAGCUGGAUGGGGAAUAAAGAAUGAUGGGCUAGAAAUGAGGUUGGAAUUUAAAAUAGGGGUUCUGGGGAGGCCUCCUGAGAAGGUGGCAUCUGAGCAGCAGCCUGAGGGAAGGUGGGUCAUCAAGCCAUGUGGCUGUCCAAUGGAGGAGCAUCCCAGGCCGAAGGAAGGGCUGUGCUAAGGUCCUGAGGUAGGAGGUGCCUUGUGUGUUAGAGCAAGGAGGCCACUUAGCUGGGAGAUGAGGCCACGUAGGGCCUUAUAGGGCCUGGCAAGGACUCCAGCUUCUCCUCUGAGGUGGGAAGCCAGGGUCUUGAGAGGGAGAGUGACACGAUCUUACAUUCUGUACUUAUAUUUUUGAAAGAUCCCAAAGGUCAUGUUGGGAAUAGACUUUGGUAGGAAGUGGGGUGGCAAGAGGAGAGGCAGCAAUUAUGAUGAUGUAGGUGGAGAUGGAACAGAUGUGAAUUUAGAGGAGAAGGUGGAGGGGUGAGAAGCAGACAGAUUUUGCAGGGGUGCAGGGGGAGGCCAUAGGAUUUCUGGGGACUGGAUAUAGUUGUGAAAAAGAGAGGAGUAAGGAUGAUGCUGGCAUUUUGAAGGGUGGAGUCACCAAUAUGAUGUGCCAGCAACUGGAGGAGGAGGAGUGGGUUUGGGGUGGAACCUGCUGAUUUGGAGAUCAGGUGUUUGGGGGUCUGUUUAUUAGAGUUACCUGUUAGACUGCAAGUGGAGAUAUGGUGAGCUCCGACUAGAAAUGUCAACGUGGACUCAUUAGCAUAUAGUUGGUACUGAACACCAAGAAAGCGGAAGAGAUCCCCCAAGGAAAGAGUGUAGAUGGGAAUGAGAGGUCUGAGGACUAAAGCCUGGGGCAUUGUCACAUUCAGAGCCACAGCAAUGAGGUGCAACCAGUGAAAAAGUCUGAAAUGCUGUGCCGGGAAUGAACAAGACAAGCAGGAGGAUGUGGUGUCCUGGAAAGCAAAUGAAGAGGAGAGGGUGGUGACUGGCCACGUCUGAUGAGGGCUGAGAACUGAUGCAAAGUCAUGGUCAUGUGACCAUACCAUUGGUGGAAACAGCAGGCAGGUAACACUCCUGGCUUCCUCCCACAG